UACGUAGGGUGCAAGCGUUGUCCGGAAUUAUUGGGCGUAAAGAGCUCGUAGGCGGUCUGUCGCGUCGGAUGUGAAAACCCAGGGCUCAACCCUGGGCCUGCAUUCGAUACGGGCAGACUAGAGUUCGGUAGGGGAGACUGGAAUUCCUGGUGUAGCGGUGAAAUGCGCAGAUAUCAGGAGGAACACCGGUGGCGAAGGCGGUUCUCUGGGAAUAAUCCUGACGCUGAGGAGCGAAAGUGUGGGGGAGCGAACAGG
rnacentral:rRNA from 1 species